UCCGUGGCGGAAUGCUUUACACCUGCAGUUAACGGCUAGCGACGGACUUCGGUCUGGUGGCGAGUGGCGAACGGGUGAGUAAUGCAUCGGAACGUGCCCAAUCGUGGGGGAUAACGUGAGCGAAAGUUACGCUAAAUACCUGCAGUACGAUCUCAGAUGGAUGAAAGCGGGGGAUCGCAAGACCUCGCGCGAAUGGAGCGGCCGAUGUUAGAUUAGGUAGUUGGUGGGGUAAAGGCUCACCAAGCCGACGAUCUAUAGCUGGUCUGAGAGGAUGAUCAGCCACACUGGGACUGAGACACGGCCCAAACUCCUACGGGAGGCAGCAGUGGGGAAUUUUGGACAAUGGGGGCAACCCUGAUCCAGCAAUGCCGCGUGAGUGAAGAAGGCCUUCGGGUUGUAAAGCUCUUUUGUCAGGGAAGAAACACCGGCUCUAACACAGUCCGGGAAUGACGGUACCUGAAGAAUAAGCACCGGCUAACUACGCGCCAGCAGCCGCGGUAAUACGU
rnacentral:rRNA from 1 species